rnacentral:rRNA from 1 species
UACGUAGGUGGCAAGCGUUGUCCGGAUUUACUGGGCGUAAAGGGCGCGUAGGCGGCGGGUCAAGUCGAGUGUGAAAGCCCCGGGCUCAACCUGGGAAUUGCGCUCGAGACUGGUCUGCUUGAGUUCGGGAGAGGAGCGUGGAAUUCCCAGUGUAGAGGUGAAAUUCGUAGAUAUUGGGAAGAACACCGGUGGCGAAGGCGGCGCUCUGGACCGAGACUGACGCUGAGGCGGCGAAAGCGUGGGGAGCGAACAGG